UUGUAAUGAUGUUGAGCAAAUGUCUGAUCUGAAAAUAUCUUGUAGACAACAAAUCUUAACACUGAAGAA
rnacentral:snoRNA from 1 species